rnacentral:rRNA from 1 species
GAUAGGUUAAGUUAAUAAGGGCGCAUGGUGGAUGCCUUGGCACUAGAAGGCGAUGAAGGACGUGACUAACU